ensembl:miRNA
UAGGAGAAGGGGAGAUUGUUUAGUUUUGUUUGUAGUUUACUCAGCUUUUAGAGAUUUCUAAGCAGUCUAAUUGACCUA